AGACCCGAAACCCGGUGAUCUAGCCAUGGGCAGGUUGAAGGUUGGGUAACACUAACUGGAGGACCGAACCGACUAAUGUUGAAAAAUUAGCGGAUGACCUGUGGCUGGGGGUGAAAGGCCAAUCAAACCGGGAGAUAGCUGGUUCUCCCCGAAAGCUAUUUAGGUAGCGCCUCGUGAAUUCAUCUCCGGGGGUAGAGCACUGUUUCGGCUAGGGGGCCAUCCCGGCUUACCAACCCGAUGCAAACUGCGAAUACCGGAGAAUGUUAUCACGGGAGACACACGGCGGGUGCUAACGUCCGUCGUGAAGAGGGAAACAACCCAGACCGCCAGCUAAGGUCCCAAAGUCAUGGUUAAGUGGGAAACGAUGUGGGAAGGCCCAGACAGCCAGGAUGUUGGCUUAGAAGCAGCCAUCAUU
rnacentral:rRNA from 3 species